rnacentral:rRNA from 1 species
CCCUUAGAUGUUCUGGGCCGCACGCGCGCUACACUGAUGCAUUCAACGAGUUUCUUCCUGGUCCGAGAGGAAUGGGUAACCUUUUGAAAGUGCAUCGUGAUAGGGAUAGACUAUUGCAAUUAUUGGUCUUCAACGAGGAAUUCCUAGUAGACGUAGUUCAUCAGACUGCAUCGAUUACGUCCCUGCCCUUUGUACACACCGCCCGUCGCUCCUACCGAUUGAAUGGUCCGGUGAAAUCUUCGGAUUGCUGACCAAGAUCCAGCAAUGGAGCUUGGUUGCGAGAAGUUGAUUAAACCUUAUUAUUUAGAGGAAGGAGAAGUCGUAACA